rnacentral:ncRNA from 1 species
AGAUAGAGGCGCAGCGCGCAAAGAGUAGCUUCCUCGGAUAAGGAGAUCGUCAUCCGGCGGGGGAGGGAAAGGGGCCGCUGCCGAAAGCGUGCGCGGACGGUGGCGCAGCGCUUGGUUUGGCAGAUAAGAUCUGUCCGACUGUCGUUUUGGCGGAGAGCUAUCGGG